CGCGGCCAUCUUGCUUCCUGCCAGCAGCUGUAGUGGGAGAGCGUUUGUUCCGUUGUUGUGUGUUACGUAUGUGGGUAUAGCGUGUGUGAGUGUUUACGGGUGUUGACUUGUGCAACCGGUAGUCACUACUAAUCCACCUGCAUUCAUUUCUACAUUGUGCCGGGACGUCCUUCUCGCCAAUAGAUAUGCAAGCAGCCGUCGAUUGACAGUUACAGCGAGGAAUCGCUGACAGCGUGAGCCAGCAUCCGUCGCCGUUCCCUGCGACCGAACUGCACGUUGGAGGAACAAGACAUACUAGCACGAGUUGUAUGAGAUAGCUUCGUCCGUAAAGGAUUUGACAGUGUAUGGAAGGAAGAAGCUACUUUCCUUCCACAUUGAUUUGGUUUUCUCCAUAACCAACUACAGUUUCGACACAGAGCAAAUACUCCCAUUUACGCACUGCAUGGUAUCAUUGGUCAGUGUCUUUGAUUCAUAUCGCACCUGCUGGGCACCCUGAAGGCAUAAGGUGGCGGUGAGCGGCAGGUAGCGACGGCCGCGUAACAGGUGCGCGGCAGAGGCGGCGGAGAGGGCGGGGCCCCCCCAUGCUCACGCUACGCCUCGUCUCGACGCACUUCCUGAAGCAGCCGUAGGCGGCCGCCCGGCCACGUCAGCAUGUGCCGCGACCGGGACAUGAACCCGUAACGCUCCCAGUCUGUCUGUCUCUCUCUCGCGCUCACGACUAACCGAACCCAUCCGACCCAUCCGAAAAGGACUGAACCUCGCGAGGACAGUAACCAAGUACACACGCCAUCGAGAGCAUCGCUACACGCAUUCUUCUGUUCUUUACGACUACCAUACUGUGAUCUGUGAGAAAGGAAACGAAAAGAAUCAAGAAAGAAAGGAAAAAAAAGAAAGAACGCCUCAGACACCAGCCGACACCUCCAAUCUGUGGAACAUCGCAAGGAUCUGUAUCUGCGGCGGCAACGACAGCUGUUGCGACAAGCAGAGCGCGGCGAUGCGUCGACCGGCGACGCUGUGCGGCUGCGACGCGCCGGGCGAGGAGUGCUGCUACGCGACGGAGGCGCCG